rnacentral:rRNA from 1 species
AGAGUGAACGCUGGCGGCAGGCCUAACACAUGCAAGUCGAACGGCAGCACGAGAGAGCUUGCUCUCUUGGUGGCGAGUGGCGGACGGGUGAGGAAUACGUCGGAAUCUGCCUUUUUGUGGGGGAUAACGUAGGGAAACUUACGCUAAUACCGCAUACGACCUACGGGUGAAAGCGGAGACCUUCGGGCUUCGCGCAGAAAGCUGAGCCGACGUCGGAUUAGCUAGGUGGAGGGGUAAUCGGACCCACCGAAGGGCGACG